AACGAACGCUGGCGGCGCGUUUUAAGCAUGCAAGUCGAACGGGAUUCCGGGGGCAACUCCGGAUGAGAGUGGCGCACGGGUGAGUAACACGUAGGUGAUCUGCCCUGGGAUCGGGGAUAGCCCAUGGAAACAUGGGAUAAUACCGGAUACGUCCUCCACCGCGAGGUGGAGGGGAAAGCCCCUUAUGGGGGCGUCCUUGGAUGAGCCUGCGGUCCAUUAGCUAGUUGGUGAGGUAACGGCCCACCAAGGCGACGAUGGAUAGCCGGCCUGAGAGGGUGUACGGCCACACUGGGACUGAGACACGGCCCAGACUCCUACGGGAGGCAGCAGCUAAGAAUCUUCUGCAAUGGACGCAAGUCUGACAGAGCGACGCCGCGUGAACGAUGAAGGCCGCAAGGUUGUAAAGUUCUUUUCUUCGUGAGGAAUAAGGGAGGGAGGAAAUGCUCUUCUGAUGACGUAAGCGAAGGAAUAAGCCCCGGCUAAUUACGUGCCAGCAGCCGCCGUAAUAC
rnacentral:rRNA from 1 species